GACGAACGCUGGCGGCGUGCUUAACACAUGCAAGUCGAACGGAAAGGCACUGCUUUUGUGGGGUGCCCGAGUGGCGAACGGGUGAGUAACACGUGAGUAACCUGCCCUUGACUUUGGGAUAACUUCAGGAAACUGGGGCUAAUAUCGGAUAGGAGCUCCUGCUGCAUGGUGGGGGUUGGAAAGUUUCGGCGGUUGGGGAUGGACUCGCGGCUUAUCAGCUUGUUGGUGGGGUAGUGGCUUACCAAGUCUUUGACGGGUAGCCGGCCUGAGAGGGUGACCGGCCACAUUGGGACUGAGAUACGGCGCAGACUCCUACGGGAGGCAGCAGUGGGGAGUAUUGCACAGUGGGCGGAAGCCUGAUGCAGCAACGCCGCGUGCGUGAUGACGGCCUUCGGGUUGUAAACCGCUUUCGCCUGUGACGAAGCGUGAGUGACGGUAAUGGGUAAAGAAGCACCGGCUAACUACGUG
rnacentral:rRNA from 1 species